UACGGAGGGUGCAAGCGUUGUCCGGAAUCAUUGGGCGUAAAGAGUUCGUAGGCGGCAUAUCAAGUCUGGUGUUAAAUCCUGGGGCUCAACCCCAGUUCGGCACUGGAUACUGGUAAGCUAGAAUGUGGUAGAGGUAAAGGGAAUUCCUGGUGUAGCGGUGAAAUGCGUAGAUAUCAGGAGGAACACCGGUGGCGUAAGCGCUUUACUGGGCCAUAAUUGACGCUGAGGAACGAAAGCCGGGGGAGCAAAUGGG
rnacentral:rRNA from 1 species